UACAGAGGGUGCAAGCGUUAUUCGGAAUUAUUGGGCGUAAAGCGCGUGUAGGCGGCCGUGCAAGUCGGGUGUGAAAGCCCUCGGCUCAACCGAGGAAGUGCGCCCGAAACUGCAUGGCUUGAGUACCGGAGAGGAUGGCGGAAUUCCCCAAGUAGAGGUGAAAAUUCGUAGAUAUGGGGAGGAACACCGGUGGCGAAGGCGGCCAUCUGGACGGAUACUGACGCUGAGGAGCGAAAGCGUGGGGAGCAAACAGG
rnacentral:rRNA from 1 species